rfam:Myotis davidii contig27963, whole genome shotgun sequence.
GGCAGUUUUCGGGUGAUGCACCCCGGAACCAGAGAGGAGGGAGCCCAGUUCCAGGGUAUGUCACCUGAGAACUGCC